UAGCCUAGUGGUAAAGGCUAUGGAUCUCCAAUCCGUGGACAGCGGGUUCCAUUCCUGU
rnacentral:tRNA from 1 species